UGGAUUGGCCAAAAAGUUCGUUCGGGUUUUCUGUAAGAUGUUACGGUACCUUUUGGCCAACCCA
rnacentral:miRNA from 1 species